rnacentral:rRNA from 1 species
CCGUACCGCAAACCGACACAGGUAGUCAAGAUGAGAAUUCUAAGGUGAGCGAGCGAACUCUCGUUAAGGAACUCGGCAAAAUGACCCCGUAACUUCGGGAGAAGGGGUGCUCUUUAGGGUUAACGCCCAGAAGAGCCGCAGUGAAUAGGCCCAAGCGACUGUUUAUCAAAAACACAGGUCUCUGCUAAACCGUAAGGUGAUGUAUAGGGGCUGACGCCUGCCCGGUGCUGGAAGGUUAAGAGGAGUGGUUAGCUUCUGCGAAGCUACGAAUCGAAGCCCCAGUAAACGGCGGCCGUAACUAUAACGGUCCUAAGGUAGCGAAAUUCCUUGUCGGGUAAGUUCCGACCCGCACGAAAGGCGUAACGAUUUGGGCACUGUCUCAACGAGAGACUCGGUGAAAUCAUAGUACCUGUGAAGAUGCAGGUUACCCGCGACAGGACGGAAAGACCCCGUGGAGCUUUACUGUAGCCUGAUAUUGAAAUUCGGCACAGCUUGUACAGGAUAGGUAGGAGCCUUUGAAACGUGAGCGCUAGCUUACGUGGAGGCGCUGGUGGGAUACUACCCUAGCUGUGUUGGCUUUCUAACCCGCACCACUUAUCGUGGUGGGAGACAGUGUCAGGCGGGCAGUUUGACUGGGGCGGUCGCCUCCUAAAAGGUAACGGAGGCGCUCAAAGGUUCCCUCAGAAUGGUUGGAAAUCAUUCAUAGAGUGUAAAGGCAUAAGGGAGCUUGACUGCGAGACCUACAAGUCGAGCAGGGUCGAAAGACGGACUUAGUGAUCCGGUGGUUCCGCAUGGAAGGGCCAUCGCUCAACGGAUAAAAGCUACCCCGGGGAUAACAGGCUUAUCUCCCCCAAGAGUUCACAUCGACGGGGAGGUUUGGCACCUCGAUGUCGGCUCAUCGCAUCCUGGGGCUGUAGUCGGUCCCAAGGGUUGGGCUGUUCGCCCAUUAAAGCGGUACGCGAGCUGGGUUCAGAACGUCGUGAGACAGUUCGGUCCCUAUCCGUCGUGGGCGUAGGAAAUUUGAGAGGAGCUGUCCUUAGUACGAGAGGACCGGGAUGGACAUACCUCUGGUGUACCAGUUGUCGUGCCAACGGCAUAGCUGGGUAGCUAUGUGUGGACGGGAUAAGUGCUGAAAGCAUCUAAGCAUGAAGCCCCCCUCAAGAUGAGAUUUCCCAACUUCGGUUAUAAGAUCCCUCAAAGAUGAUGAGGUUAAUAGGUUCGAGGUGGAAGCAUGGUGACAUGUGGAGCUGACGAAUACUAAUCGAUCGAAGACUUAAUCAA